rnacentral:rRNA from 1 species
GGGGAAUAUUGCACAAUGGGCGAAAGCCUGAUGCAGCAACGCCGCGUGAGUGAAGAAGGUUUUCGGAUUGUAAAGCUCUGUCAUCUGGGACGAUAAUGACGGUACCAGAUGAGGAAGCCACGGCUAACUACGUGCCAGCAGCCGCGGUAAUACGUAGGGGGCAAGCGUUGUCCGGAAUUAUUGGGCGUAAAGCGCGCGCAGGCGGACAUUUAAGUGAGAUGUGAAAGACCCGGGCUUAACUUGGGCAGUGCAUUUCAAACUGGAUGUCUGGAGUGCAGGAGAGGAGAACGGAAUUCCUAGUGUAGCGGUGAAAUGCGUAGAGAUUAGGAAGAACACCAGUGGCGAAGGCGGUUCUCUGGACUGUAACUGACGCUGAGGCACGAAAGCGUGGGGAGCAAAC